CCCAGAUUCAUUAUCUUUGCCUCCCUCAUAAAGCUUCAUUAGCUCGCAUAGUCCCAGCAACAAAUAAGCCUGAGCCAAAUGCCCACCUUCAUUACCUUCAGCUUCCUGAUAGUCUUUGAUCCUUUUCAGAAACUUGCCUUCCAGCUCCACUAGACCCCGUUCCAAGUACCCUAAAUGCUUCAGCUUCCUGAUAGUCUUUGAUCCUUUUCAGAAACUUGCCUUCCAGCGCCACCAUACCCUGUUCCAAGUACCCUAAACGGUUGCUUGCUCGGACAACCAUGUCUUUCCAUUCAUUGAUUACCUUCUUUUGAGCCUCUAGUAUUUCCCGAUGUUCACUCUCGCUUGCGUAGCUGGUUGUACUCGACCUUUGUUGCAGCCUCCUCAUCAAUAACCCUGUGACCAUGGAUGAAACCUAUUUUUUCCAAGCCAACAUGAUCAUCUUCUAACCAUCCUGGAUAAAGUGGCGCAUGCCUCGCCUGAUACCUGUCUAGUUCCAUUGAUUCCUUUUCUACAAUGAUCUUGGAGUGCCACAUAUGCUGAGCUCGGCACCUGUGUGGGCUAUCGUCAUCCUGGAAAUCAGCUCUGUAAUGACUCAUCUUUUCCACUCUUGAUAUAAUCUGCUUCCUACCAGCUUGCCUCAUGACUCGGAGAGGGACAUAGGGGUAUGUUCCUCUCAAGCCGAUGAGAACAAGGAAUGGCGCAUCCCUAGACCGAAUGAUGAACUCUCCAGUUGGAAACCACUAGUUCAU
rnacentral:lncRNA from 1 species